rfam:Clostridium saccharolyticum WM1, complete genome.
ACAAUGAUACUUACGGUUUGAACGCUUCACAGCAUUGACCGUCGCGCCAUCAGCAUGGGGCGGGGUGAAAUUCCCAUGA